GUGCUUUCUUCAGCAACACAUAAAAAAAUUGGAAAGAUACAGAAAAGACUAGCACAGCCUCUGCACAAGGACAGCACGUAAAUUAGUGAAGCAUUCCAUACUUUC
ensembl:snRNA U6 U6 spliceosomal RNA